AUGGGCGGCUGGAACCGCAUCUCCAGUGCCGGUGGUCUACUGAAGCCGCUCGCCGGCGUCCCUUUCGCCUCCAUGCCCGGCGCCGGCGCCGCCUACUUCCUCGUCGGCUCCGCGCUCGGGGUCUUCGCGAUGCUGCACGCCUCCGAGUCCGAGGUCGGCCGCGAGUGGGCCUCCGUCGCGCGCUGGGCUGCCCUGUCCCGCACACCUGCUCGUCGCAAUGUCCCUGCUCCUCCUGGCCGCCAAAGUCUGGUGCCUCGGCAAGCGCUGCGACGUGGUGGAGGGGCUCGUGGGGAGCCCAGGCCCCACGGUGCAAGCGGUGCGCGUCAGAGGCGUCAUCUGCACCGUGUGUGGGACUGCUCCGACGUUUCGUGGUCGCUGGCUUCUGAGCUGGAGCAGGAGGCCGACACGGAGGACGAGGACAUCGCUAGCAAGGUGACCAGCGCGGAAGAGAGCAACGUGGAGCGGCUCAGGCGGCGGCUCGUGCGGGAGAGGAGGCUGAAGGAGGCCGCGCUAGAGGACCUGGAGAAGGAGAGGUGCGCGGCGGCCUCCGCCGCUGACGAGGCCAUGGCCAAGAUCGCGUGCCUGCGGAACGAGAAGGCGCUGGUGGAGCGCGAGGCGAAGCAGUCCCGGGAGAUGGCCCAGCAGAAGCAGAUGUACGAUCGGCAGGUGAUCGAGUCUCUUCAGUGGAUGAUCAACAAGUUUGGCGUGCAAUCUUAG
rnacentral:rRNA from 1 species